CUCCUGGCAAGAAAGCUGAGCCAUUGUGCUCUGCACUAGCUCUAGUUUCCAAAUGGUUUGAAGGUUUAAUUCCACACAGAGCACGUUGCAGAAAUCUAACCUCAAGGUGACAGAUAAUCAGAGAGGUCCGUAGCCAAGAGAAAGGGACACAACCUUCUUGCCAGUCACAGCUAACAAAGAGCUUGGCAAGCAGAGAUUCCAUCUUGGACUCAAUGAACACCACGAGACUAACAAGACUUUACAGAUUUGUAGGCCUUGAUUUACGGCAGAACAAUACAGAGCCUGAGAGCAAAAACUAUGAUAACUACUUCAUCAUUCUACUUAAGAACAACUCGAUUGAGCCAGUGAGUCCCCUCUCUGAAUCUGCUGGAAAUAGAAGAAUGUUUGCAGGAACUGGGUGAGGUAUUUUUCCUGUGAAAAAAGUAUGUGUGUGAACUAGUUAUGUUAACUGAAUUUUGGAACUUAAUUCCAAUUUACAAUUGGGGUUAGUGCAGAUGAACCGUGGAGGCAACACAGUGUGAGUACCAUGAAAACAAACUAGCACCACUAAAACCUAACUCUGAACACAUUUAUGUCAUGAUUCAGAUUUCAUAAAUACACGGCAAGGCCCCAGAUUGCACAGGGAAACAUAACUUGACAAUGGAGGAGCCUCAGACUCCGGUACACAACAAAAGAGACAAAGAGAGGUUUGACUUUAUAUUUGUAAAGGCACUCACCCGCAAUGUGUUGCAGGGUUUGCAAAGUGAGUGGCAAUGGAGGUUAUUUAAAGCUGUGGCUAGCCUGAUGGGUGAGAUAUUAGUUUAGCUUCAUACACCAUGGUGGGGGAUCUGAGCACAAUAUCAGCCUGGGCAUUCCUGUUAUGGAGCGGAUACCCUCACUCCUGGAACAGGUAAUGGGGAUAAGGAAGGAAUGUUUUGCAACGUCUCGGGACAAAGUCCCCCGUGCCAAGUCGCAUGUGGAAAAAAACAUCAGCUUUGGAGAAAUCCAAUUGCUCUAAUUUCCUAGACUUGGGUAAAAUGCUAUGACUACAUAAGAUGAGAAACAAAUCUAGGCAGCAAAAGUAGGCCACAAGGAAGGGAAAUGGUGGGACCGAAAUAACGUUGCUUGUCUGGGAAGCUGAGCCUGGGCCUACAGCUGGGUGCCCAGUGCAUCCCCACGUGGUGCCCCUUGCCUGUGGUGUUCCCUUUGGUGUUCAGAGCUCUAGGGCUGGGAUUUCAUGGCAAUAAAGCCAUACUUUUAAAAAAAUAGUAAGAUUAGAGAAUGGGAUGAGAUUGGUGAAAAUCUCAUGGAAAGAAGCAGAAGCUUCCAGAUAGGGGAGACAAGGAGGGAGAUAUUUAACAACAUGUAAGGCCAGCACAGCUGAAUCCUGAUCUAGACUGGCUCAUUUUCCCUCACAGCACAUAGAAGCUUCUAAAAAGACCAGGAGAGGUGAGAAACUUACAUGCAUUCUUGUUACGUAGUUUACCAUCACAGGACCAGAAUGUUCUUUGUGGCUUUUUUAUGGUGCCGUGUCUCAUCACAAUAUUAUGCUUUAUGCCUAUUCCCGCUCAUAAAACUUUGAGUACAUAGUUUCCACACAACAAAAGCAAGCUUUGGGUAAAGGUCAGGGCAUUCCUUGUAUCAUACAGAUAAGCCUGGCUGUUUGUGGUACAAGCUUUACCCAUUUCAAUAAACAAAAAUAUUCAGCAUUUGCAAACAUGCAGCUUCCAAACUUGAGUAAAAGGCAGCAUCCCAGACCCUCUCUUGUGUGGAAGGCUAUUAUUUGAAUGGUUCUUUUUCAAGGAAUGAUUAUGAAAAGUGGGACCAAAGGAGCCAGAUAAGAUUUGUGCCUCUCUAUCAGUGAAAGAGGAAGGUGAACCCCAUGCUCCAGGACAGAAGGAGGAUUUUUUAAUGUAUUGUUUGUUAAGCACCAACCAUGUGCUCAGCAUUGUACAGGGUU